rnacentral:ncRNA from 2 species
UGAAAUAAGGGACUUUUCAGUGCGGAACGGAUUUGAAAAAGAAUCCGCGAAGGUAAAAGGGAAUCAGGUGGAAAUCCUGAGCGAUCCGGUCACUGUAAGCAGGGAGUGUUAGCUGCAGAAAUGCCAUUGUGCGAAACGCAUGAGAAGGCGCGGCUGCCGUGAAGAUCUGCGAGUCAGGAAACCUGCUGGAAAGGUUAGUGAAUC